AUUCAACAAACAUAUUGGAACGCAUAUUCCUAAUGUUACAAUUUCAACAUACUUUAUAGACUCUUGUUACAUGGAAGUCACUGCGCCAGUCAAUGAAGACUUCAAGUAUGAAGAGGACUUGAUCUUUGCCGUUAAGAAAUUUGAGUGACAGAAAAUCAAUGCUUAGUGCCAACAACUUUUGUCUGUUCAUUAAAGUAGGUUCUAUGAGGCAGUGGCUCUAUGAGGCAGUGGCUCCUGAGCUUGGCUCUGGGUCAAAGUACCUGAGUAACGGAGUUAAAAAAAUUUUUUUUAAUACAAAGCUUCCAGGUACCAUCCCAGAUCAACUGGAAAAAGAUCUCUAGGACUCUCCAAGAUAUGCAGAGCUUUGGGCCAGGAUCCUACAGCCACGGGUCAUGCAGAGCCAGUUGGCCACAUCCUUUGGGCCAAAUUUGGUCCUAACCAGGUCUUACCACGGUAACUGCUAACCAGUCCAUCUUCAGUUAAUAUUUCAUGCAAAACAAUGGGCAAGUCAGCUCAUGAAGAACUUUUCAGAUAUUCAGACUAUUAUUCUGAGAGAGAAAAUAUUGGCAGAGAACAGAUGGGAUUUUUCUCAAGGAAAAGAAAUGGAAAUCCUACAUCUUGCAAGAAAUAGAAAAAAAUAAAUAAACUGUUUGAAGAAGAAUCACAUCAGGCUGGCAGGAGAGAGCCUGCGGCUCGGUGUCUGACCCAGAAUGUUAAAGCCAGCCUGGCUUGGCUCCAGGAUAAAGGACACUCUGUCAGCCUCUCCACAUUGAUUCAUCUCCCCAGCCCCAAGAUCAGGAGAGCAUUCUGUUCCUUGAAGCAUUUUAUGACUGUAAGUCAGAAGUGCUGCAGUUUUAAUAAAAAGCUGUAUUGUCCUGA
rnacentral:lncRNA from 1 species